rnacentral:rRNA from 1 species
UACGUAGGGGGCUAGCGUUGUCCGGAAUCAUUGGGCGUAAAGCGCGUGUAGGCGGUCCGGUAAGUCCGCUGUGAAAGUCGGGGGCUCAACCCUCGGAUGCCGGUGGAUACUGUCGGGCUCGAGUCCGGAAGAGGCGAGUGGAAUUCCUGGUGUAGCGGUGGAAUGCGCAGAUAUCGGGAGGAACACCUAUGGCGAAGGCAGCUCGCUGGGACGUUACUGACGCUGAGACGCGAAAGCGUGGGGAGCAAACAGG